rnacentral:rRNA from 1 species
GACGAACGCUGGCGGCGUGCUUAACACAUGCAAGUCGAACGGACAGGCCCUGAUCUUGCGGGGUGCUUGAGUGCCGCGCGGGUGUGUAACACGUGAGUAAAAUGCACUUGUCUUUGGGAUAACUCCAGGAAAAAGCGGCUCAUACCGGGGAGGAGAUUCUGAUGCGUGGUGGGGGAUAGUGAGUUUCGGCGGUUGGGGAUCGACUCGCGGCUUAUCCGCUGCUUGGUGAGGUAGUGGAGGACCAAGCCUUUGAAGGGUAGGCGGCCUGGGAGGUUGACCGGCCACAUUGGGACUGAGAGACGGCGCAGACGCGUACGGGAGGCAGCAGUGGGGAAUAUUGCACAAUGGGGGGAAGCCUGAUGCAGCAACGCCGCGUGCGGGAUGACGGCCUUCGGGUUGUAAACCGCUGUCGCCUGUGACGAAGCGUGAGUGACGGUAAUGGGUAAAGAAGCACCGGCUAACUACGUG